UGCAGGAUGGGAGGGUGGGAGGAUGUGUGUGUGCGUGUGUGUGUGUGUGUGCGUGUGUGUGUGUGUGUGUUACGGAGGGAGGGCGGGGGAGCGCCAGUAGCCAGAUGCUGAGAGACGAGACGAAGGACGUAAAACACAACAAGUGAGUGAACUGUUGCUCUGCAAAUUAAGUCGCACUGCAGCGGGAUUACUGGAGGCGAAACUCUGUAAAAAUUGCCUGAGAUCGCCGCUUUGAGCAUUUUGGACGUGCACCAUGCAGGAGUCCUGCUGAGAUGAUGCGAGUUUAAAUAUUAGUGUGACUUUGAGUUUGCAGCGCGCCGCAACUUCACCCGAUAAGACAUCGCAAGCGCUCCCUGUCGGAAGGUUUUCGUCGCGGUGUCCGGGAACAGUUUUCCGGCGGCGUUUCCAUCUGAGCCCGCAAUCACGGAAAAACACUGAGAGCCGCGUGGAAAAGAAAGAAAGAAAGAGAUUCGGGGUCUCCUGUGAUGCUGGGAUAAAAUGUUCUCUGCUUCAUCCAAGCUGCCUUUUAAACAAGUCUCCACAUUCAAUGCAAUUUUGUGGGCAAUUUACUCAACAUUUUCAUGACCUGUAACAAUUCUGUAGCCUCUUUUAAUGGAGAAGUAGACUGCUGAGAUAAAUCUAAUCCAGGGUCAACAGAACAGUAAAAAAGAGCAGUGAUUUAGCAAAUUCCUCGACCUUCUCUUCUCAUUCCUCGACAAGGUAAAGCACCCUUCCCUGCAUGUGGUGGGUGAGAUGAACUCCAGUGGGAAUACUGUAGACCCCACUUGACAGCUCAGCCUGAUCACCUGAAAGCUUCUCAACAGAGCCUCCACAAGACCUUGAUAAAAAAAGCAGUUGCCUAAAAUCCACAUCUCAAUGGGGAUGCUGAAUUUUUAGGUAGAAAGUCAAUAUUGAUGUUAUUUUUGUGUCAUAAAAUAAUGUAUAACCUUUAUAUAGGUUGACAGCCCUCUGACACUGCGAACCAGAAGAAACUGCAAAAUAACAGGAUACAAAACUAAUGUUUGAAUACCGGGAAAUGGAAAA
ensembl:lncRNA